rnacentral:rRNA from 1 species
UACGUAGGUGGCAAGCGUUGUCCGGAUUUACUGGGCGUAAAGAGCGCGCAGGCGGUCGUUCAAGUCGCGUGUGAAAGCCCCCGGCUCAACUGGGGAGGGUCACGCGAUACUGAUCGACUCGAAGGCAGGAGAGGGUAGUGGAAUUCCCGGUGUAGUGGUGAAAUGCGUAGAUAUCGGGAGGAACACCGGUGGCGAAGGCGGGUCUCUGGGCCGUAACUGACGCUGAGGAGCGAAAGUGUGGGGAGCAAACGGG